rnacentral:snoRNA from 1 species
GGGCAGAUGAUGAGAAUUAACUAUUUUGGGCUGAUUCAACCGUGAAGCUCCAAAAUUCGAGCUUUUUAAAACUGAUGCCCC